AGUGAACGCUGGCGGUAGGCCUAACACAUGCAAGUCGAACGGCAGCACAUUAAUAGCUUGCUCUUACGGGUGGCGAGUGGCGGACGGGUGAGGAAUACAUCGGAAUCUACUUUUUCGUGGGGGAUAACGUAGGGAAACUUACGCUAAUACCGCAUACGACCUACGGGUGAAAGCAGUGGAUCUUCGCACCUUGCGCGAUUGAAUGAGCCGAUGUCGGAUUAGCUAGUUGGCGGGGUAAAGGCCCACCAAGGCGACGAUCCGUAGCUGGUCUGAGAGGAUGAUCGGCGACACUGGAACUGAGACACGGUCCAGACUCCUACGGGAGGCCGCAGUGGGGAAUAUUGGGCAAUGGGAGCAAGCCUGAUCCAGCAAUACCGCGUGGGUGAAGAAAGCGUUGGGGUUGGGAAGCCGUUUUGUUGGGAGAGAAAAGCAGCAGGUUAAUACGAAGCUGUACUGACGGUACCCAAAGAAUAAGCACCGGCUAACUUCGUG
rnacentral:rRNA from 1 species